rnacentral:rRNA from 1 species
CCUACGGGGGGCAGCAGUGGGGAAUAUUGCACAAUGGGCGAAACCCUGAUGCAGCGACGCAGCGUGAGUGAAGAAGUACUUCGUGAUGUAAAGCUCUAUCAGCAGGGAAGAAAAUGACGGUACCUGAGUAGGAAGCCCUGGCUCACUACGUGCCAGCAGCCGCGGUAAUACGUAAGGAGCAAGCGUUAUCCGGAUUUACUGGGUGUAAAGGGAGCGUAGACGGCAGUGCAAGUAUGCAGUGAAAGGCGGGGGCUCAACCCCCGGACUGCGCUGGAAACUGUACGGCUGGAGUGCAGGAGAGGUAAGUGGAAUUCCUAGUGUAGCGGUGAAAUGCGUAGAUAUUAGGAGGAACACCAGUGGCGAAGGCAGCUUACUGGACUGUAACUGACGUUGAGGCUCGAAAGCGUGGGGAGCAAACAGGAUUAGAUACCCCAGUAGUC